GAUGAACGCUGGCGGCGUGCCUAAUACAUGCAAGUCGAGCGAACGGACGAGAAGCUUGCUUCUCUGAUGUUAGCGGCGGACGGGUGAGUAACACGUGGAUAACCUACCUAUAAGACUGGGAUAACUUCGGGAAACCGGAGCUAAUACCGGAUAAUAUUUUGAACCGCAUGGUUCAAAAGUGAAAGACGGUCUUGCUGUCACUUAUAGAUGGAUCCGCGCUGCAUUAGCUAGUUGGUAAGGUAACGGCUUACCAAGGCAACGAUGCAUAGCCGACCUGAGAGGGUGAUCGGCCACACUGGAACUGAGACACGGUCCAGACUCCUACGGGAGGCAGCAGUAGGGAAUCUUCCGCAAUGGGCGAAAGCCUGACGGAGCAACGCCGCGUGAGUGAUGAAGGUCUUCGGAUCGUAAAACUCUGUUAUUAGGGAAGAACAUAUGUGUAAGUAACUGUGCACAUCUUGACGGUACCUAAUCAGAAAGCCACGGCUAACUACGUGCCAGCAGCCGCGGUAAUACGUAGGUGGCAAGCGUUAUCCGGAAUUAUUGGGCGUAAAGCGCGCGUAGGCGGUUUUUUAAGUCUGAUGUGAAAGCCCACGGCUCAACCGUGGAGGGUCAUUGGAAACUGGAAAACUUGAGUGCAGAAGAGGAAAGUGGAAUUCCAUGUGUAGCGGUGAAAUGCGCAGAGAUAUGGAGGAACACCAGUGGCGAAGGCGACUUUCUGGUCUGUAACUGACGCUGAUGUGCGAAAGCGUGGGGAUCAAACAGGAUUAGAUACCCUGGUAGUCCACGCCGUAAACGAUGAGUGCUAAGUGUUAGGGGGUUUCCGCCCCUUAGUGCUGCAGCUAACGCAUUAAGCACUCCGCCUGGGGAGUACGACCGCAAGGUUGAAACUCAAAGGAAUUGACGGGGACCCGCACAAGCGGUGGAGCAUGUGGUUUAAUUCGAAGCAACGCGAAGAACCUUACCAAAUCUUGACAUCCUUUGACAACUCUAGAGAUAGAGCCUUCCCCUUCGGGGGACAAAGUGACAGGUGGUGCAUGGUUGUCGUCAGCUCGUGUCGUGAGAUGUUGGGUUAAGUCCCGCAACGAGCGCAACCCUUAAGCUUAGUUGCCAUCAUUAAGUUGGGCACUCUAAGUUGACUGCCGGUGACAAACCGGAGGAAGGUGGGGAUGACGUCAAAUCAUCAUGCCCCUUAUGAUUUGGGCUACACACGUGCUACAAUGGACAAUACAAAGGGCAGCGAAACCGCGAGGUCGAGCAAAUCCCAUAAAGUUGUUCUCAGUUCGGAUUGUAGUCUGCAACUCGACUACAUGAAGCUGGAAUCGCUAGUAAUCGUAGAUCAGCAUGCUACGGUGAAUACGUUCCCGGGUCU
rnacentral:rRNA from 1 species